GCCUGGGUGGCUCAGUGGGUUGAGCAUCCGACUUCAGCUCAGGUCAUGAUCUUGCGGUUGGUGAGUUUGAGCCCCACAUCAGGCU
rfam:Felis catus isolate Cinnamon breed Abyssinian chromosome A1, whole genome shotgun sequence.